rnacentral:lncRNA from 1 species
CUGCCAUGCAAGUCUUCAAAGAACCCUGAUUCCCUACAGCCUCAGAGCAGACUGUGCUGAAAAUUAGGCACCAGGUUUAAUUGAACUACAAAGCAGAUUGAAUAUGCAGCAGGGACACAGCUGUCCUACACCGAAUUCAAGGCCAUGUUGUUGGAUUCCCUCCACCCGUAAUCCUGGAGUCCUGGAUUGAAACUGUCCUCUUGAAUCACAGGCAGGACCAAUCAAAUCCGAACCCGCUAAAGGAGGCUGAUUUGAAUGGAAGAGAGAGCCACAUUUAUACACAAAGCAUCUGAGUGAGUGGCAGCAGGAUUUCAGCCAAUGACCCCGGCCGGGUCCCACUCCCUACACUGAUGAUGGACUUCACUGUGAACAGCAUACUUGUAGGGGUGGGGGAUGGUGGUGUAACGAGUAAUUCCCUCUCAUAAGGAGGCCAGAGACCCACUGACAAACAUGAAGCUCUGGUUCAGAUCCAUUGAGACAAAAAAAAUAAAAAUAAAAAUAACCCGGACCGCUUGAGUGAAUAGUCAGGAACUAUACAAGAUUUGUGUUUUUGAAAAAUUCUCCACGUCAGUGUACAGUGGAAUGAGGAAAUGCCAUUGUGGGGGGAGGGUAAGGAGACAUAGAUGCCUUUCUGUAAAAUUAAUUAACAAAUUAGUGGUUGACGUAACAUUCUCUCCGUUGAUUCUCUUGUCUCCGGGACGAAGCGCACACUCUGCCGCUGACUGCGCCUUUUGACUCAUCAGUAUCACUCACAUCAUCUGUUGCCUCCUGUCUAGCUUUUUUUUUAGUCUCAGAUGAAACAACUUGUGCCUCUUCUUUCAGCUUGGUUUCCUUGUUUGUUGAUGCAAUGGGAACCAACCAUCUGCCUAAUCAUUUAAAGAAAAUUUUUUAAUCAGGCUUUUUGGGUGAUUUAAUCCAAAACUCACACUUUUCCCCCAUUUUCAAAAAAAAUGAAUCUUACUCGUGAGGACAAAACAUCAAACCACAGUUCGCUCCAAAUUGUUCUCGAUGUUAUAUUUUUAACAGAAUCCCAGGCAUACAUAAUAUUAAAAAUUACAUCCCUGAUGCUAUUGUGAGAUUAAAAGUCUGGCAUGGUGCCUGGAUAAUGGAUCAUAUGAUUAUAUUGCUUACAAAACCUCUUCUGCAAUAUUUCAGUUUCUAAGUAACACCCUCAACCAUGGACUAAAUCAAUGGGGAAAUACUAACAGCCAGAAAAGAAAUAAUGGAACCCACCCUAAGAAAGCAUCAACAGGAUAGCUUUAUUUUUAUUGCGUGAGCUUUUGAUUCUGUGGCGCAACCA